GUUUGAUCAUGGCUCAGGAUGAACGCUAGCUACAGGCUUAACACAUGCAAGUCGAGGGGCAGCAUGUCGGUUGCUUGCAACCGAUGAUGGCGACCGGCGCACGGGUGAGUAACGCGUAUCCAACCUACCUUUGUCCAUCGGAUAACCCGUCGAAAGGCGGCCUAACACGAUAUGCGGUUCACAGCAGGCAUCUAACGUGAACGAAAUGUGAAGGAGAAGGAUGGGGAUGCGUCUGAUUAGCUUGUUGGCGGGGUAACGGCCCACCAAGGCUACGAUCAGUAGGGGUUCUGAGAGGAAGGUCCCCCACAUUGGAACUGAGACACGGUCCAAACUCCUACGGGAGGCAGCAGUGAGGAAUAUUGGUCAAUGGACGAGAGUCUGAACCAGCCAAGUAGCGUGCAGGAUGACGGCCCUAUGGGUUGUAAACUGCUUUUAUAGGGGGAUAAAGUGUGCCACGUGUGGCAUAUUGCAGGUACCCUAUGAAUAAGGACCGGCUAAUUCCGUGCCAGCAGCCGCGGUAAUACGGAAGGUCCAGGCGUUAUCCGGAUUUAUUGGGUUUAAAGGGAGCGUAGGCCGUUUGGUAAGCGUGUUGUGAAAUGUCGGGGCUCAACCUGGGCAUUGCAGCGCGAACUGUCAGACU
rnacentral:rRNA from 1 species